rnacentral:rRNA from 1 species
CACGCAGGCGGUUUGUUAAGUCAGAUGUGAAAGCCCCGGGCUCAACCUGGGAACUGCAUUUGAUACUGACAGACUAGAGUAUGGGAGAGAGAAGUAGAAUUCCACAUGUAGCGGUAAAAUGCGUAGAGAUGUGGAGGAAUAUCAGUGGCGAAGGCGACUUCUCGGCCCAAUACUGACGCUCAGGUGCGAAAGCGUGGGGAGCAAACA